UACGUAGGGGGCUAGCGUUGUCCGGAAUCAUUGGGCGUAAAGCGCGUGUAGGCGGUCCGGUAAGUCCGCUGUGAAAGUCGGGGGGCUCAACCCUCGAAUGCCGGUGGAUACUGUCGGGCUAGAGUGCGGAAGAGGCGAGUGGAAUUCCCGGUGUAGCGGUGAAAUGCGCAGAUAUCGGGAGGAACACCAAUGGCGAAGGCAGCUCGCUGGGACGGUACUGACGCUGAGACGCGAAAGCGUGGGGAGCAAACAGG
rnacentral:rRNA from 1 species